rnacentral:tRNA from 1 species
GCCUUUGUGGUGUAAAGGUCAGCACACUCGGCGCGUAUUCGAGAGAUCGAGGUUCGAGUCCCAGCGAGGGCA